rnacentral:rRNA from 1 species
UACAUCGGUGACAGGUGGUGCAUGGUUGUCGUCAGCUCGUGUCGUGAGAUGUUGGGUUAAGUCCCGCAACGAGCGCAACCCCUAUUGUUAGUUGCCAUCAUUCAGUUGGGCACUCUAGCGAGACUGCCGGUAAUAAACCGGAGGAAGUGGGAUGACGUCAAAUCAUCAUGCCCCUUAUGACCUGGGCUACACACGUGCUACAAUGGUUGGUACAACGAGUUGCGAGUCGGUGACGGCGAGCUAAUCUCUUAAAGCCAAUCUCAGUUCGGAUUGUAGGCUGCAACUCGCCUACAUGAAGUCGGAAUCGCUAGUAAUCGCGGAUCAGCACGCCGCGGUGAAUACGUUCCCGGGCCUU